GUUUCUUAUCUUGGAUCGAACAGUGCUAAUAUUGGUGGUGAAGUUAAAACUUGUUUAAUUUUCUUCAUUGAUAAAGAAUGAUUUUUGGUCCACACAUACUCUACUUUUGACGAUAAAUUCUCUCUCAGUGGACCUACAACUUCAAUAAUUCUUGAUGAUGGUUCUGCAAAAUCUUUAAUAGCAUUCAAUUUACUUGGAUCCGCUUCAAUACUCUUCUUGGAUAAAAUAUAACCACAAUAUUAUAAUUUAGGAUUCUACAGACAUUCUUGAUAUGGUUUUCGAAGUUGUGUGAUACAGAGAGAAUGACAUCUACGACUUUCCAAUGCCUCUUCUCCACGAAGACAAUAUGCGUCCCCCGUUGCUAUGAAUCCCAUCGGAGCUCUAUUCCAAAAAUAUCUACACCAAGGAGUCAUAAAACACGUCAUUUCUCUCGAUUUUUCUUCUAGUUCCAUCUGCCAAUAUCCCUAUUUUGCAUCCAAUGUUGUAAAAAACUCAAUUUUUCUUGGAUUACUUGAUAUUAUGUCCCAAGGUGUUCUCAUGGAAUGGAUUGGCCUCUUAACUUAAUCAUUCAAUUUCUUAAGAUCCACACAUAUUCUCACUUUCCCACAAGGUUUGGGUACAACUACUAAUGGAUUUCACCAAUCUACUGCUUUAUCACCGACUUUACUUAUUAUUUUCAUUCUUUCUAUUUUGUUAAUUUCUUUAUUUACUUCUUCUCUAUAGGUAAAUGGUAUGUUUCUUGCAGUAUUAAUUGCGUAUGAUUGAUAAUCUUCUUUAAGACUUAUCUUCAUUGGUUGCCCCUCCAUAAUUUUCAAUUCCUCCUCAUCGUAAAAUACAUCUCUAAAUUCUUCCA
rnacentral:lncRNA from 1 species